rnacentral:rRNA from 1 species
CCCUUAGAUGUUCUGGGCUGCACGCGCGCUACACUGAUGCGCUCAACGAGUUUAUGACCUUGCCCGGAAGGGUUGGGUAAUCUUUUCAAAACGCAUCGUGAUGGGGAUAGAUUAUUGCAAUUAUUAAUCUUCAACGAGGAAUUCCUAGUAAGCGCGAGUCAUCAGCUCGUGCUGAUUACGUCCCUGCCCUUUGUACACACCGCCCGUCGCUCCCACCGAUUGAGUGAUCCGGUGAAUAAUUCGGACUGCGGCAAUGUUCAGCUCCUGAAUGUUGCUGCGGAAAGUUUAGUGAACCUUAUCACUUAGAGGAAGGAGAAGUCGUAACA